CCAGAACUUAACAAAUGUUCCACAAGGAAUGAAAAAAUAGGGAAAGAAAGACCAUUUAUUGGCAAAGGGAAUUAUUCUGUUAUUUGGCUGAAUGACAACGCUGGACCUCAUACUGUUGAAUCGACAAAAAGACGAACUUUCUGUGUGUUCCUACUCGUAUAAAGGAAUUCUCACGGCAUACUAAGAUCGGACCUGAUCUUCGUCGAUACGAAAGCAGAGCUCUGUAUUACCGACAAGCCUCGUAAACGGCCAUAGCAGCAAGCGAGGGACUCACAAGAAGGAGGGGUAAACGAGCUAAGCCACGAUUUCGUCGUCGUAAACGUCAAAGUUACGGUUACAGCGUUGUUCCUAGCUGCUUUAUAUUGAACGAGGUUGCUCCCCGAGAUUAAAUCGGAUGAUGUUGCAUAUAGUUGAAAAAGCAGAACAACUGCUGUGCAAAGCAACAGAAUUUAUCCAAUUGUACUUAGUGCCUACUGAGAUGAUUCCUUCCUUUGUAUGCAUAAAGACACAGAAGAUCUCUUGUGGUAGGAAAUGAAGAGAAAAUAAAAUAGGCGGACCCUAAACCGGAUCGAAGAGUGCAAGAAGGAGAUUCCCGCUAGGAAAGAUGAAGGAAGAACCAGAGGUAACUAGGAGCAAAAAAAGGACAGAGAUAGUAAAAAGAACUACUAGCUAGGGAUCUAGGAUCUCAGCUGAGCUAGUAAAAGAAACAUGCUUACCGAAAAUGUGAUAGAACCCGUGAGGCCUCGAUGAUUACAUAUAUCUGCCAACGGCAAAGCAGAAGGCCAUUCGGGAAUAUCCCUCUCGCAAUGAGCAGGACAAAGACAUCGCUAGAAACAGCUGACUACCGGAAUUCGGGGUUCCGGAGGGGUGAGUACAGUGAGGAAGGCACUUGAACCUCCAAUUGGACGAGGGCUUCCCCAUUAUACCCGGCGUACCCAACGAUUUUACACGCA